ACUAGUUUACACAGUGUUAUACAUUUUUAUUGCGACACCCUGUAUAUCAAUUGCAACAUUAUCGGUACUAUCCAUAUUAAGAUGACAAUUCACAAUAUAGUUAGGGCAUUGUCUAUAGUAUGUCAUUCAAUUUAACACAUUACGGACCAGCCGUCUUAAUUGCUAGGUGUACGCAGGGGCCAGAUUAAAUUACUUUUCUCUAUAUGACAACAAUGGAAACCCGAAAAUUCUCGUGAACGAUCGCAAGCAUUAGGAUCGAAAACACAGGAAUUCUCGUGAUCUGUCCAUAAUUAAUAACGAUAAUACGCUUAGAAAAAAGAAAAAAAAAAGAAUGUAAUUAAAUGAAUAUCAAUAAAUUAUUUCGGAAUCUACGUUUUUGGUUUUUACUCUCGAGAUUUUAGUAUCAUGUAAUGACUACUUGUCUUGUGCACGUGAUCAUUAUACAUAAUUACAUUUUUCCACUAGGUGAUGUGCAUAUACAUCUUUUCUCCACUAUUUUCACUGGCAGAGAAACGUAUAGUCUACGGUCAAAAUCUCGAGGUAGUCUAUUCUACACAAGGACAACAAAUUAUACAUAUUGAGCUGUAUAACAUAGACUCGUACUGUUUUUAUUCCCAUAUUGCAUAUAUUGCACUAAAUAUAAAAACAGGAUGAGUUUAUGUUACAAUGUAGUAAAAUAACACUAUAUGCACACAACAAUGAAAAAUGGUCGCAAUUUCAAUUGGUAGCACUGAUAUUGGUAGGUUAUGUCAUUUAUGUAUAUUGUUCAUUUCCUGGAAAGGUGAUAUAACCAAGAAUAGUUGGAAUAUUUAAGAAGUUACUUUGAAAUACAAGUAACUCUCCCAAGAAACCAGCGAUAUGUAUUUCUAACCAAGCAAGCAGUAUAAGUACACUCGUAUGCGACCCGGCUAUCAAAAAUACAUACAUAUGUAUAAAGCUGCCAAAUCUAUCGCCGGUAUGAAACCUCAAUAAUACGUCACGUAUCUACACCGGAUCUAGACGUCGAGAUUCAAAAUAAAUCCAUGGUAAUAAUUCUUAUAUUGAUAGUUAUAAGUAUGACAGCUAAGUAUUGAAGAAAUUAAAGGGAAUAUAAAUUACAACUAUUUUACACGAUGAAGCAGCAUGCGGGUACGCGUUGCGCACGCCAAGAAACGCGCGCACACAAUUACAUCAAGUUACGCAUCCACACGUAUACACACUGAUGCUCACACCGAUCGAGACAAUGCGUCAAAGCAGAGGCGGUAAUAAUCAUUCACCUUUCAUGUAAUAUCAAAAACUAAUAGAUCUAAUCUCUUCAAGGCAACAAACGAGAAUAUAUACCGAAUAUAAUCUGCAGAAGAAAUGAAACAUCGGAUAGUUGAAACGACUCAAGAAUGGAUCCACCGAGAACACGAUACAAUUGCGUUCAUACGCGACGAGUUUCUCGCGAUAUCUUUCACGGACACGCGGGAAAAUCAUUCAGCCGAUAUCUGGUAAAAUCGUAAAAUUACACCAACGAAAGUUCGAUCAUGGUUUCUGUUAUCAAACAAGACACUAUUAAGAAUCUAUGAGAGAGAAACUGAACGAAAGUAUCCAGCCGUGGUACUCGACUGUUCGAUUUCUGCACACCAAAUUCGAUAUCCCUAUCACAAACUUUUCCAGCUGAAUAACGAACGUCGUAAUCACGAAAAAUAUUGUUAAUGAUUCUAACAUCGACAUGAAUAUGUAGUAGAGUAUUUAUGAAUUUAUAAAACAGAGUUGUUAGACAUAUAUUCACCACAAUAUCGAGAUGCACGAUAGUAGGCGCGGCUUUUCACCCCGUAUAGAGAGAAACAAUUUCGUGUCAGUGAUUUGUCACCUACCUACGUUAUUCGAGCGUGUCCUCUUCGUCAACGAUCCUCGUGCUAUCCACGAAUGAAACUCACGAUACCGAUUUAACACAGAAUCACGAACGAAUCGUGCUCUCGGCACUUUUCAGCUCGUGCUUGUCGCACGCCAACCGAGUCCGCCAUCUUGGGGCAACCGCCAAAUCCCCCCAGGCAGGACAAUACUUUCCCAUGAAAAGUCACUAGGAAGCUCUACAGAUUUUCCAUCUUUAUCUCGCUACUACUCUCACCCUUAACCCUUGACAAGCCGACUGCAGUAUAAGUCGUUCUACUCCUUCUCGAUACACUAGACUUUGCAGACAUAUCUGUGUUUAUUGCGAUUAUCAGUGUGGUAUUUGUGCAAAUUCAUAUUUUAAUGAGUGAAAUGAAAUAAAAUGGGACAUGGAUAGAAAACUGUUUGACAGUCCUAUACUUUGGAUAUUUUACAUUUUACAUUUUACAUAUUGUGUGCACUCUGUGCAUUUUUCCAUCUACAAACUUCCUAUAAAUACAUAAAAAUCCUGUAUAAACCAAUAAUAUAUGAAGUUUACUUUUGGUAUCGACAGUAGUUCUAAUAGUUCUAAGUUCAAGAUAGUUUGGUAUCUAAAAUUUGUUUUUUAUUUAAGAUGUGAUUUUAAGAUUAACAUAAUCAAAUUUGAUGUUUUUUAGUACAUUCAUAUUUAGUAUUGUCAGAUGGGGAUUUUUACGUAAAGACUAACGUUACUAAAAUUUCACGAAAACAAGACUUAGUUCACUCUAGUUAAUCGCAAUGAUUCAAUGUGUAAUUAAGAUAAAGAGGAAGAUAUAUCAGUUUAAAAUGAAAGUAACAUUGUGGAACCAAUCAACUCGCUAGCAGUGUGGGAUAUCAAUUAUAAGGGGCUUUAAAGAAAGAUAAAAUUGAAUAAAAUACAUUAUUAAGUAAAUCACAUUUCUGUGAUAAUUCUUCUAAUAUCAACUUAGAAAGAUACUAAAUUCUUAACCUAGACGAAACUUUUUA